rnacentral:rRNA from 1 species
CCCUUAGACGUUCUGGGCCGCACGCGCGCUACACUGACGGAACCAGCGAGUAUAAACCUUGGCCGAGAGGUCUGGGAAAUCUUGUGAAACUCCGUCGUGCUGGGGAUAGAGCAUUGUAAUUAUUGCUCUUCAACGAGGAAUUCCUAGUAAGCGCAAGUCAUCAGCUUGCGUUGAUUACGUCCCUGCCCUUUGUACACACCGCCCGUCGCUACUACCGAUUGAAUGGCUUAGUGAGGCUUCCGGAUUGGUUUAGAGAAGGGGGCAACUCCAUCUUGGAACCGAGAAGCUAGUCAAACUUGGUCAUUUAGAGGAAGUAAAAGUCGUAACA